UGUGGGAGCGGGCUUGCUCGCGAUGGCGUCAGUGCGGACGCAUGAAUAGCUGCCGAGCGAUUGCUAUCGCGGGCAAGCCCGCUCCCACA
rnacentral:misc_RNA from 1 species